GGGUGUGGAUCCUUCUUGGGCAUCCCACCUACUGGUGUGAAAUAUCAUACCAGCACAUCUCCUCCCUCAUUUGAUUGGGUUGUGAAGGCGAUUGGAUUGGAGUUCAUCCUGCUUUCCUGCGACGUCUAACGUGCAUGCGAAGUAGAGGAUAUACACAUCCAGGCCUCCACGAAAGUUUAUAUUAGAUUAUUUGAGAUUUGAUCUUUGAUUUUGCUGCUAUUCAGAUAA
rnacentral:lncRNA from 1 species